UGUUAAGUGAAUUGGGGUAGUUGUGUAUGUAUGUGUGUAUGUGUAGAUUGUAGUUAAUGAAACAAAAUAGAAACUUCCUUCCUAUUUCCAUUCCCACCUUCUAAUCUUAAGGGAAUUGAAUAUGAAAGGAUUCCAGCAAUUUUCUUGAACUCUUAGAUGUCCUAAUGCUGAGAUUAUUCUGCUCCCAGCCAAUCAUGAGAAUGACCUCCUUCAUACUUCUUCUGCUGUUGCACUGUUCUCAGGUCUCUGCUUUCCUGUGAACCAAAGAAACGACGGCUGAUAACUUUUUAAGGGAAAUCUGGGCAGUGCAGAUCCUGCAUCAACUCUGUAUCAACUGCAAAUGUGGACUCUGGAGUUAGAAUACCCGUGUUCAAGUGUGAGCUCCACCAUUUGUUUAGUGUUCCAGUUAUCUGUCACUAUGUGACAGACUUAAAACAUAAUAAUGUGUUGGCUUAAAACAUAAUGGCUUAAAAACAAUCAUCAUUUAUUUAUGGCAUAAAUCUGCAAUUUGGGUAA